rnacentral:rRNA from 1 species
GCCCUACGGGAGGCAGCAGUAGGGAAUCUUCCACAAUGGACGAAAGUCUGAUGGAGCAACGCCGCGUGAGUGAAGAAGUAAUUCGUUAUGUAAAGCUCUAUCAGCAGGGAAGAAACAGACGGUACCUGAGUAAGAAGCCCCGGCUAACUACGUGCCAGCAGCCGCGGUAAUACGUAGGGGGCAAGCGUUAUCCGGAUUUACUGGGUGUAAAGGGAGCGUAGACGGCGAAGAAAGUCUGAAGUGAAAGCCCGCGGCUUAACCGCGGAACUGCUUUGGAAACUUUUUUGCUGGAGUACCGGAGAGGG